rnacentral:rRNA from 1 species
ACGAACGCUGGCGGCGUGCCUAAUACAUGCAAGUCGAACGCUUCUUUCCUCUCGAGUGCUUGCACUCAAUUGGAAAGAGGAGUGGCGGACGGGUGAGUAACACGUGGGUAACCUACCCAUCAGAGGGGGAUAACACUUGGAAACAGGUGCUAAUACCGCAUAACAGUUUAUUCCGCAUGGCAUAAGAGUUAAAGGCGCUUUCGGGUGUCGUUGAUGGAUGGAUCCGCGGUGCAUUAGCUAGUUGGUGAGGUAACGGCUCACCAAGGCCACGAUGCAUAGCCGACCUGAGAGGGUGAUCGGCCACACUGGGACUGAGACACGGCCCAGACUCCUACGGGAGGCAGCAGUAGGGAAUCUUCGGCAAUGGACGAAAGUCUGACCGAGCAACGCCGCGUGAGUGAAGAAGGUUUUCGGAUCGUAAAACUCUGUUGUUAGAGAAGAACAAGGACGUUAGUAACUGAACGUCCCCUGACGGUAUCUAACCAGAAAGCCACGGCUAACUACGUG